AGCAAGAGAAUGUGAUAUUCCUGUUAGGGUUAAGAAUUCUUACAACCCUAAAGCUCCAGGUACCCUCAUCACUAGAGCAAGAGAUAUGAGUAAGGCAGUACUGACUAGCAUUGUUUUGAAACGGAAUGUGACCAUGUUGGAUAUUGUUAGCACUCGCAUGCUUGGUCAAUAUGGCUUCCUUGCCAAUGUAUUCUCAACCUUUGAAGAUUUAGGCAUUUCUGUGGAUGUUGUAGUUGCAAGUGAAGUUAGUAUUUCCUUGACUUUGGAUCUAUC